rnacentral:rRNA from 1 species
AUGUUUCCUAGAGUUUAUCACCUUAUUGAGUUGUCAUUGCUACUACUGGUAGCGACGAUAACAGUUGAAAGGGCUUUUUCAGUGAUGAAAAUCAUCAAAACUGAGUUGUGCAGCAAGAUGUCAUGUGGCUGGCUUAAUGGCUUGAUGGUGUGUUACAUUGAGCGAGGGAUAUUCAAAAGAUCUUAAUAAAUUAAGGACGAUUUUCAAAAGAAAGGUAAGGCACUACCAUUGCCCGGGUCUUCUACAUGUCAUUAA